AGAACUACCUCCUGAGGAAGCCUGGGGUGAUUCCAGUUAUGAUAUCACCCUGACUUGAUUCCAAUUAUGAGAUUCUGAACUUUGAGCUGAUGUUGUAAUGCAAAAGUGAAACUUUUGAGGAUCUGAGGAGUAGGGGGGACGUAUUUUGCAUGUGGUAGGCAGCCUCUAAGAUGGUUCCCAAUAAUCUCACUUCCUGGUGGUUCACUCUCUGGGUGUAGGUGGGACCUAAUGACUAGCUUCUAAUGAAUAGAAUACAGCAGAAGGGACAGGAUAUCACUUCUGAUAUUUGGUGGUAAAAAGAUGAGUUUGUCUCUUGAUGCCUUCUCUCUCAAUGGAAGCCAGCUGUCAUGUUGGGAACUGCCCCCUGGGGAGGCCCACAUAGCAAGGGUUGAGGGAGGCUUCUAGCCAACAGCUCAAAAGGAACUGAAUCGUACCAAUAACCACAAGAGUGAAUUUGGAAGCAGGUUCUCCCCAGUGGAACCUUGAGUUGAGUAUAGCCCUACCACUGGAGCCACACGAGAGACCCUGAUGCAAAAAAGCCAGCUAAGCUACUCCCAGGUUGGUUCCUAACCCACAAAAUCUGUGAGAUAAUAAAUGUUGUUUUAAGUCAAAUUUGGGAUGUACUUUCUUAUACAGCAAUAGCUAUCUAAUAAAGGCAGGAGGAAAAGCUUAUUUGUAAUAAAUUAUUUACUGAAAACUUGGUCACAUAAAUGGAAAAAAGCAUUCUUGAUGCCAUGCCUUUGCAUUUUUAUCAUCACCCCAACCUAAAAGAAGGGUUCUUUAUCACAUGUGUUUACAAUGUGUCACAUAGGAGUUGGGUAUUGUCCUGGUUCUCUUUGCCCUUAUCCUGCAUUUUUUCAAGUUCCUCCAAGAAGGGGUGACACAGCGAACCUCUCCAAUUGAUCUUAUAGAUUAGGGGCUUCUACUUUUCACGAUAGCCACUUUUUAAAUUCUAUCAUUUUUAGCUUUGCCAUACAAUUUGAUUACAUUCCUUAGUGAAACAUCAAUGCUCUUAUUUUGAAUAUAUCACAAAUUCGUUAAAAUAUAUUUACAAAUACCUCUAUGUUUCCUAAAGUUAUAAUAAUCCCUAGCAGAAAACACUGGAAAUAGAAAAAAAGAGAAAAAAAACCUUCCUCUAUAGUUCAAGAAAAUUAGCGUUCAAACUUAGAUGAUAAAACAUGAAAUGAAAAUUCUUGAUGAAAAUAAUUUUAGAGGAGUUCCUUUUGGCAGAAAUAAAUGAUAAGUAAAAAUAGCAACUAAGGUAAGCCUCAGGCAGUGUUUUGUGACUUAAAGUAAGAUUGAGGUCUGAAUAUUGCAUUAUGAAGUACCUCAGGAGAGAGAAUGGGAAACCGUGAUCGCUGUGGAAAAGGAAAGGGAGAGUGUGAAGAAGAAAAUGAAGUCGGUGACAGCUGCUCAAUAAUUUCGUGGGACUCUCAGGACAUGUAACAUUAAACGUUAUUCAACCAUAGGAGUCCAACAGGAUUAUCAUCUUAUUAAUCAAAAGGCAUUAGGAUUUUAGCAGCAAGGAAGAAAGUGGAGAGCUACAGCAAAUAAAGGAAACUUUUAAUCAAAUACUUAUUUGGUCUUAUAGAUAUCCUACCCUUUAAUUCUUCCAUUUGUACCAUAUUAGAGAGUCUUUAUAUGUUAGACAUUGUAAGUCAACUGUUAGACUGAAGCACUUUAUGUAAGUGAAGUAUUUUACACAAGAUAUUUAAACUAUAUCACAUUAAUAUCUUUUAUUAUAGGUAUCCUUGAACUCAUUUGGUUUGUAUUAUCAAAGCUACUUAGGCAUUUACAUUGUAGACAAGAAAUUUGAAGUAACCAUAAAUCAGCCAUUGUACUAUGUAUUUUCAUAUUGUUGUUCAUAUUGUUGAGCAGUUCUUUGGAUAACUUUAAAAUAAAAUAAUGUUGUUUACCAUCAC
rnacentral:lncRNA from 10 species